GUCACUUCUGGGGAGGGUCACUGCUGGGGAGAAGCUUCUCGGAGCCCCUGGCAAAGGUGAGCAGCGAGGACCAUGAAUGUGAAACCAACCUUGGUCCUUCUGUCUUCCUGGGAUGUGGGGGUGGGGGCUGCUGUGGUGGGACUGAGCCCACCCUAACUCGAGCUGUCAUUUCCCUUCAUGCUGCUGUCCUAGGAAAUGCUGAAUCAAAAUAGAAGGUGGGAGAAAGUAGGAGAAUACAUUCCAAGGGGCAAAUGGAAAUAGAAGAAAGGUAACAUUGGCCUGCAAUGCUGCGUAUGAUUCAGAGGUGCAGGUCCUCCCUUCUUCAGAUGCCUGCACCCUCUCCGUGCCUAUCCAUAACCAUCAUCCUCAUGAACUCUGGGCGUCUGAAAUAGGCUUAGCCUAUCAAAAUCACAGAUGACUGGGCCUGGCACUUGAUAUGAUGAGAAAAGUCUGAGGAAAUGAAGAUGUGAGCAGAGACUUGAGCUUCCACAUAGUAGCAUCUCAUCUAAUCUCACAA